ACUACCCGCUGAAGGUUUGCAUAUCAAUAAGCGGAGGA
rnacentral:rRNA from 2 species